rnacentral:rRNA from 1 species
UACGUAGGGUGCGAGCGUUGUCCGGAAUUAUUGGGCGUAAAGAGCUCGUAGGCGGUGUGUCGCGUCGGCCGUGAAAACCUGGGGCUCAACUCUGGGCGUGCGGUCGAUACGGGCAUCACUUGAGUUCGGCAGGGGAGACUGGAAUUCCUGGUGUAGCGGUGAAAUGCGCAGAUAUCAGGAGGAAUACCGGUGGCGAAGGCGGGUCUCUGGGCCGAUACUGACGCUGAGGAGCGAAAGCAUGGGUAGCGAACAGG